UACGUAGGUCCCGAGCGUUGUCCGGAUUUAUUGGGCGUAAAGCGAGCGCAGGUGGUUUAUUAAGUCUGGUGUAAAAGGCAGUGGCUCAACCAUUGUAUGCAUUGGAAACUGGUAGACUUGAGGGCAGGAGAGGAGAGUGGAAUUCCAUGUGUAGCGGUGAAAUGCGUAGAUAUAUGGAGGAACACCGGUGGCGAAAGCGGCUCUCUGGCCUGUAACUGACACUGAGGCUCGAAAGCGUGGGGAGCAAACAGG
rnacentral:rRNA from 1 species